CAGCAAUGGAAGCCUAUGGGGCUGCCCUGCAGCAGGAAGGCUGCUGGCAGAGUGGCAAGCAGACCUCUGGAUGAUGCCUUUCUGCUUUCCUUUUUAUUUAUUUUUAUUAUUAUUUAUUUUUUCAGAGCGCAUUUAUCCAUAGGCUCUAAUUAGUUCCUCAGGGUGGGGAAGUGGUACAUUUAGCAUGGACAGUGAACACAGCCUCAGUGAGCAGGAGACAUCAGGAAAGCAAUGUGGAAAAUAAGACUCUGAAAGGACACUUCUUUAUACAUAAUCAACAGUGAGGCACUGUUGUUCAUAUCCUCUCACAGAACUGAAAGUGGCUGUUUUCUUUCUCCCCAGAUUUGGAAGAUUUUCUUCCUUUUCCUGCAACAAGUUUGAGUGAACUUCCUAUUUAUUCUUCACUUCUUCAUGGCUAUUUUACCCCACCAGAGCAAGGCAGUCCUUAUGCAAGAAGUGAGCACUGUAUCAACUCACUGGAGAACUGAAUAUCACUCUCUCUAGAAUAUUAUGUUCUGCAACUAUUGAGAGAAUUUUGCUUUCCUAUCUAGGAAGAUUAGAAAUGUGCUGUUCUGACCUUUAGCUUGGCAACUCACUUACUUCUAUAACCUCUAAGGUUUUCCUUAUUGUGAAGAACUUCGAGGAGAAACGGCUUGGUUGGAAGUAGAGAAAUCCUACUCCAAUCUAUGAAAGACAAGAGAUAUCUACUCAGCAAAUUUUCUUUUAGCCAGCAGUCUUUUAGAGGACAGUGCAUUUGAGAGGGUUUACAGCCAAAUAAUCCAAAUCCAAGCUACCACGAACCCAUCAGAAGGCUCUCCUAUUAAAACCUAAAGCUUUCAGCCUGCUAAUAGAAUUUGAAGCAUUUUAUUUUUGGCAGAUCUCAGACUGAAAUCUCCAAGAGCAAGCUGUUCAUUAUAAGAUCACUUUGUUAUCCGCAAGGCCAACUCAGAAAACAGUGCACGCUGCAGACCUGUAGAAAGAUAGACCUUUAUGUUGGCAGGAAACUUCAGAGAAGUGUGCUGGUGAGAACUUAUAUCAGUGGGUUUUGGAAGUCGCUUUAUUAUCUAACAGAUGUGUAGGCUGCAACAGCAGAAAUUUUUGCUCCUGUGAGAAAACAGAAUAUUCAGUUGUCAGGUGUAAAUUCAUGGACAUAUUUUUGUGUUUACUGUCCGCUUCUUCAAAUAACUCUACACAAGGACAAAGUGCCAAUAAGUUGCUUUACGAAGAGAACCAGUCUUGCUUCAAAACCUUUUAAUUUAGGCAUGGGCCAAGAGUGAUGGGCUUAUGGUGCUGGAUGGCUACAGUAAACGUCCAGGUGAAUUUGCUGAGUACUACAGAACAUCGCUUCUUCAGCCUCAGAACAUGUCUAAAGAGUGCAGGCAGCAGAAAUCCUUGUGUUCAGAGCCCAGUCAAAUUCCCAUUAGAGUUGGCAAAAAAAAAAAAAAAAAUUAUUAAGGUUUGGAACCAAACAAAGCACAUCCUUAGCAACUGAAACAUGAAUCACAAAUGGCACAGAUGUUUGGUAAGUAAUUUGGUGGUGUGUAUUCUCUUUGAAAUGAUCAACUUGGUCUAGCAGAAGAAGAAUAAAAUGCAGUCAGUCAGAAUUGGGUUCUGGACACCACCCGACAACAGGCAACACACUGAUCUGGGGUAAGUUUUUUUUCCCAUAAUUACAGUGAUUAAACUUUUCUAAGAAACUAAAGGUGUAUUCUGACCUAUUUUAUUUCUUACUUGAUAAAAAUAAAAUAAAAUGAGGAUGAAGGUGAAGUAAUAUCACUUGGCACUUUUGGAAUCUUUCGAUGCAAAACAUUCUUUGCUAUAAAUGCAGAUUAAAUUUUAUGAAAUUCGGUCCUUCCAGAGACACAGCUGGAUUUCAUUCAACUUCUGCUUGAUUUUAGAUGGAGUCAAUGAGAUUGAAACUGCAGUCACUUUACCACAUCUGACCUUCUGGAUGACAACUGCCUGGUGAUUAUGAUAGCUACAUUAUAUCCCAACAUUAUAUUGCACUUGCUGGUGGGAAGACUUCAGGAAAGAAACAGUUUUUGUCUUCAGAAGAGAUAGAGACUGAAAGAUUUGUGAAAUAGUUUUGAAUUUGUCCAUCAGAUUUUGCUGAAGUCCCAGUUGUACGUGUGGGUCAAUUGCAAUUCAUUUUCCCUGUGAGCAUAGGGGAUGCACACUGCAGAAAAUUGAACACUGUUGAAGUACAUACCAACACUCUAUCUUGUUCUACUAAACACAGCAUUUGUGUUGGGCACACCCUUCCUAUUCGAGAGCUUGUUAUUGCUAUUGUUAAUUUGGAAAUGUUUCACUAAAAACAGUUGAAGACUUUUCUCAUGAUCUUAAGUUUGGGACUAAGAGAAGAUGAAGGUCUUCCUCAACCAUCUGCUUUCUAUUUCUGUCUGUUCAAAGAUGAUUGAAUUUGUUCUACUUCUUUGUAUUUAUGGCACAUUUUUUUUUCCAUGCCACAUCUCCACAUGAUCAGCCAAAUCCUCAACUAAUUUUGGUUGGCUUCUUUGACUUCAGUGGAUAUACUGCUAAUUCAAACCCUCUGCCUGGCUCAUUCUUGAAAUUAAUUUAAUCAAUAAUCUGUACCAAUUACUUUAGGUACUUCUUGUUUACCUCUAGGUGUAAUUUAUUUAAAUUAAGUGUUUCUCUCCAUUUAUACUUUCACUAUGAUACGCUGAUGUUUCAUAGAAUGAUAAUCUAUUUUUGAUAUUCACAUUUAUUUUCUUCUACUCCUUUCAACUUUCUAGAGCUAUCUAUUUCCCUAGUGCCCACCUUGACUUCCUACAAUUUAAGCAUUUUACUGAGUUUCUCUCUGCAUUCAUUUAUUUCAACUCGCUAUAUUUCCAGGGAGCUUUUCUCCUUUGAUAGUAUUGCAUCUGUACUAAUACGGUUCGUUUACAAAGUAGACAUUGUUUCCAGUUUUAUCUUUACAGCUAGCUGUAGCAUUCUCACAAAUUGAAGAGACUCCAUUUGUAAUGUGAAUUCAUGUUUACAAUGUUGUAUGCUAAGUAAUGAUCUAGUCAGUAGUGGGCAGUCAUUUUUGUCAUGAAAGUUAACUGUAUAUAUAGGAAGAUAUGCUACCGUGUAGACUUCAAACAUAUUCCAUAACUUACAGCCAUUCUAAUUUCUCCCAAGUCUGCCCAUUCAUUUGUGGAAAUGUCUGGGUGCAUUUUGAUUCCUUUUAGACAGCUCCAUUUCAGUAUCAGAACGUUCAAGCACCUUUUAUGGAAACCCAGUCUAUAUUUUAGCCUUCAAGGCUACUGGGUGGAUCCUGUUAACUGGGAGAGCGUAAGACAUUCACACCAAAAAAAAAAAAAAAAAAAAAGAACACAAAAGGAAACCCAUAAAUAGUACCAGUAUACUUGGAAAAAUUCCCUACCUAUAAUUACAAAAACAUUUAGGCAACCCAUUCUGUCUUCAGAAAGGUAACAAUUAUUUAUACAUAUCAGUCUCUGUGUAAAUGCCACCUGUCCAAUCAAUAUAUUAAUAUUUGAAUUAUUUCAAAAGGAGAUGGUAGGAAAAAAAGCCGUCUUUUCUUCAGUAAUGAACUAAUUUAUCUGAAAAUCUGAGAACUGCAAGUGGGUGGUACUCUUUUCUGUGUAGUCUUACAAAAGACAUUACUGCAAUCAAGCUAGUACUUACUAUUUUAAUAGUAAAACACGCCAGGCAUCAAAACUUGACAUGGAAUGUAAUGAGAAGUGAUAUGAUUGAGCAGAGAUGUAACAGAUAUGUUAGUUAUGUUAUGUUAGCAUGAUUUUUGCUCUGGGUCUUGAAAUCUUUACAUAUACACAUGCACAAACAUUCUUAACAAGAUAGAAAAUUUCUUGUGGAAAGUGUAUCAUAAUGAAAGCCUUGGGAGAGAAAACAGAAGAAUAUGUGAAGGGAGAAUGCUCUGAUUUUAAAUAGGCAAGUAGAAGAGGUUGUUAUGACAGGAGUAUAUUGCUUAGUUCAACAGUAUCUAGUUCCACUUAUCUGGUCUUCCUGGUAAUGUGCUGAAAGCAGAAAGGAAGAGCAGUAGUUCAGCAGUGUCUGGUCCUUAAAAAUAAAGAAGGGGUAGGGAGAAAGCAUAUAAGUGCUGAAGAAAAGAAAAGUGAUGUUUAGAGAGGAAGGGGAAGAGAAGAGGGAAGGGGGAAGAGGGCAGGAGGGAAGGAGAAAGGAAGGAAGGGCAAAGGAGAGGAGCUGGGGAGAAAAAGAAAAAAAAAAUAGAAGUUUGAAUUUGAUAUGAUCCUAAGUAGCAACCAGAGAGAUUUGGGAAAACACUGAGCCAUAGCUGGAAUGGCAGGCUGAUGUUUAGGAAGAGUAUAUGAGAAAGGUUGAAGUGGAAAUUGUGGAUAUCAGGAAAUACAGCAAAGCAGCGAUUGUAGCAAAGGUAAUCAAGCCAGAUGUUUGCAACAUAGACACAGAGAAAAUAAUCAGUUUGAGGAAAAUAAACAGUAAUCAUAUCUGGAUUAAAAAGUUGAGGUUAACAUGAAGUUUGGAACACUUUGGAAAGAAAAGUUGGUGGAUUAUGUAUGUAGGGUCAUAAUCCGGUCUGUGCUGCAGUUAGAUCCAGUUCAGCCUAAUUUGCAUUGAAAUUUGCUCCCUGACUCUAGACUGGCUUAUCAUUAUUGUGGCUGCUUGUCUGUGCUGUUCUCUGGUGGUGUUUUUUGCUGCAGGUGCUGUCUCCUGUGGAAGCUUCUCCCUGAUGACCAGUUGUACUCCAAGGUCCAAGUCUGCAUGUUGCAUAAUGUGUUUCUAGUCUUCAGAGAGGUAAUUCUGAUAAAUGUAACUCAAACACCAGCUGAUGCAGGUACCUCCUCUGUGCCUGCAGAGAGCCUAGAGUAACAGCUCCAAGAGGUUUGUACCUUCUCAUUCAUCUCAAUAAGUUCUUAAAUUGUCACUCUUCACCUUCUAACUUAAUCAUCAGCUUUAGAGCUUGCCCCACAUUUUGAACUGUUUCUCUUUUGAUCAUUUCAGCAGGAUCACUCUGAAGUUUUUAUUCCCUAAUUUCAAAGUGUUUCUUGUGCCCUCCAGGUGAGAAAGUCCAGGGCUGUGAUGAUAUCUAUUUUCCCUCUUGACAACUUCCAAGCUGCAGGUGGGAAUUGCCUACACAAGAGCUCAUGGCAUACUGGAAAAAAUACAUAGGGACUCCAAUAAAUUGAUUAGUUUGCCUACCUACUUAAUUGUUCCUGAGGUUAAUGUACUGAAUGAUUAAUUGCCUUCAUAGCUUGUUCAUCACAGAUUUAG
ensembl:lncRNA